rnacentral:lncRNA from 1 species
UUAGUACAGUUCUGUAGAGUUAAAGCUAUUUGCCAGGUGAAUUGGAAUUCAAAAACAAUUGCAUUGAUUGCGUUUUCCACUGCCUUACUUUGCAGUGUGCAUAUCCAGGGUAUUCCCCAGAUGCCUUGAUAUUGAAGAGCAAAAUUGCCAUGUGAAAUGCUUCCAAGGCUAACACCUCUAUGCCCUCCUCACGAACAGAGACAACAUUUCCUGGUGUGCGAGGCCAUUCUUCCCGAAGGAAGAGAGGGCAGAAUGAGGCUUUUUGUGAGGUGCAUCUAAAUCUGCUCAUUUCUUUAAAGUAUCUUUACACUUAGUCAUAAAGCUCUACAUUUGCUAGCUGGUGAAAGGACAUGGUUAUUAUUCCUUUAUUUAUCGCAGCUUAAUCUAUUACCUUUUCUGCAGGCAGCAUACUAAGAAUUUCACUCCUUAUCAUUGUUUCUCAGCACUUAGUUUAGUUUAUUUUUAAUAUAAUUGCAUUGAUCGGUGAUCUUUGUCUCAGAUGAAGCGCUGCUCAGUAGUGAGGUCCUCAGCCCAAGACGCUGUUCUUUGCCUCCAGACGUGAAAGCAAUGGGUCUUUAACCUGGAAAGCAAUCUUAUUGUCCAAGAUGGUCUCUUGGGAACUGUUGAAGUUGUAUGGUAUAUAUAUCAGCUGCUAUAUUUUGUUCUCGUCCCUAAAUUCCUAUGCUUCAACCUGAAUCAGCUAAAGAUAGAGCUUGUGACACCUAUGUGGAAAACAUGGGAAGAAUUUCCAUUUUGCAGUGCAAAUGGACCUGCCACAACAAUCCAGUGAGGCUGGUAACUCAAGUAGCACUAAAGGAAAGCACAAGUCCUCAUCUGGUAAGAUGACAAUAUUUUCUACAAUUCAGUGUCCAAGAAUCACUUACUGUGGUUUUACUUCAUACAGUGUUUCUGAAAUCAUAC